rnacentral:rRNA from 1 species
UUCAUAGAGUGUAAAGGCAUAAGGGAGCUUGACUGCGAGACCUACAAGUCGAGCAGGGUCGAAAGACGGACUUAGUGAUCCGGUGGUUCCGCAUGGAAGGGCCAUCGCUCAACGGAUAAAAGCUACCCCGGGGAUAACAGGCUUAUCUCCCCCAAGAGUUCACAUCGACGGGGAGGUUUGGCACCUCGAUGUCGGCUCAUCGCAUCCUGGGGCUGUAGUCGGUCCCAAGGGUUGGGCUGUUCGCCCAUUAAAGCGGUACGCGAGCUGGGUUCAGAACGUCGUGAGACAGUUCGGUCCCUAUCCGUCGUGGGCGUAGGAAAUUUGAGAGGAGCUGUCCUUAGUACGAGAGGACCGGGAUGGACAUACCUCUGGUGUACCAGUUGUCGUGCCAACGGCAUAGCUGGGUAGCUAUGUGUGGACGGGAUAAGUGCUGAAAGCAUCUAAGCAUGAAGCCCCCCUCAAGAUGAGAUUUCCCAACU